GAUCCUGGCUCAGGAUGAACGCUAGCUACAGGCUUAACACAUGCAAGUCGAGGGGCAGCAUGAACUUAGCUUGCUAAGUUUGAUGGCGACCGGCGCACGGGUGAGUAACGCGUAUCCAACCUGCCCAUCACUUGGGAAUAACCUUGCGAAAGUAAGACUAAUGCCCAAUGAUAUCCCACGAAGGCAUCCGAAUGGGAUUAAAGAUUUAUCGGUGAUGGAUGGGGAUGCGU
rnacentral:rRNA from 1 species